UUGUAUAACUGAAGGUUUUUAUUGUCACAUUUAAACUCCAUAAGUUAAAUAGGAUAUACAAUGGAUGUUCCUUCACACCUGCACCUAAUUUCCUAAUGCUACACCUGCUGAUGUCUCUCUUUCCAAACCAAGUUUCCGAAAAUUGUUUUGAUGCUCCUUGUUUUCUUUUCUGUGUGCGCGCUGGUAAAGGCAAGUAAAAUUCAAGCACUUUUCAAACAUUUUCAAGGUCGUAUUUAUAGCUCCGAAACGCACCGGGGCAGAGAGAGGAGGGGGAGAGUGUGACAAGUUGCCUAAUGCUGACGCUCAUUACCUUCGGCUCCUGCUGGUGGUGGCAGACGAAGAGCCAGAGUCCCAACAGCCGUCAUCACUGGAGGUUUUCUCAGACAAAAGCUCAAGGAAGAAAAGCCUUGCAGUUUUGCUCUCACCUGUGCCGACUCUUCCUCCAGCCGUCUCUUCUCAUCUUCAGACUCAAUCAGCUUC